rnacentral:rRNA from 1 species
UACAGAGGGGGCAAGCGUUAUUCGGAAUUAUUGGGCGUAAAGGGCGCGUAGGCGGCUUUUCAAGUGACGGGUGAAAUCCCUCGGCUUAACCGAGGAACUGCCUGUCAGACUGGAAGGCUUGAGACCGGGAGAGGUGAGUGGAAUUCCCAGUGUAGCGGUGAAAUGCGUAGAUAUUGGGAGGAACACCAGUGGCGAAGGCGACUCACUGGACAUGUAUUGACGCUGAGGUGCGAAAGCGUGGGGAGCAAGCAGG